ACCAAGUGUAAGGGGAACGGAACAAUUGGUCAGUAAGAAAAGGCAUAGCUUUGUGAAUGACGCCCUUAAGCACCAACUCCUAUUUCUAUCAUUUCACAACCUCCUGCCUCAUCUUUUUCUUGAUAAGCAACCCUUUUUUCAGAAAGAAUAAUGAGCAAUCAAGGCACAACAAGAUUCAAACUGGAUGGUUAGAAGGCAAUUCACACCACUGAUUGACUGCCUAACUUAAAUGAAAGCAUGAGUUAUUGGAGCCUCCUUUUCAAUGCAAUUAAACUUGGCCAAUUAAGUGGGCUGGCUCUGCUCCUUUUCCUUUUCUUUUCUUUUAUAAUCUUAUGAAUUAAGCAGUUUUAUUAAUAAUAUUAAAAGAAAUAAAGAAUACCAGUGAGGAUGAUUGGCAAGCACCCAAUAAGUCAAGAACAUCUGAUGUCCUGAGAAAAACUCUCCCGUUCCAUCCAUGAGAGUAACCAGCUGUUUUAUUAAUAAGACCAUCCUGUUUCUCACUUAACCGGCUAACCCCUUUGUCCAUGAUUAUCAGGGCCCUAAAAGCAGCCACAAUGAUACUCAAGCUAACAGAAGCAGAUAAAGGUGCAUCUCUCACUGUGUGAUACAAGUUCCUAAUCAGCACUCAGGGCACUUGUUUGUUGCAUUGGAAACCCCUGGCCUUUCAAUCAAGGAUUUUUUUAUCUCCUUAGUGUUGAAAUUGGUUUGUAGUCAUGUCAUCAGGUCAAUGACAAUAUUAUCCUUUUCUUAUUUCAAUUCUGGCUAAUCAGCCUCCGAAUAUAAACUAAUCACUGACCUGCAACAGUUGGUUACUUUCAUGGAUGGAACGGGAGAGUUUUUCUCAGGACAUCAGAUGUCUACCUAGAACUGACGAGGCAUCGAGAACCGAUGAGAUUUUUUCACGGGCAUGAUACAUAUAUUGGCAUGAGAGUUUGAAUGAAAUCUGUUUAUUCUCUUCAGCAUGUUUUAGCUUUUCUCAAUGCUGAAAGAUUUGUCAAGAAUUUGUUCUUGUCCAGCUAAAGAAAGUAACAGUUUUUUCUUGCACUUGCAUGGAAGUAUUGGUUGCACGAUUCUGAUGUUAGAAUUAAAAAGUGGUCUUCUUGCCAAUCUUGUUCCUGUAUAAAAUCAUUGGUUGCUUGGAAUGUCAACAUUGAAUAAAAUAACUCCCCCUCAGCUAUCUUAGCUGAAAUCUUCUUA